ACACGUGUCAAACUCAAGACCCGUGGAUCCAAUCCGGCCCACCACAGCUUUUUAUGUGGCCCUCUAAAUCCUAGACUAAACAUUAAGUAUGCUUAAAUAUUAUGUUAUCAAUCAAAUCAGUGCAGAUUUUAUCUGUUUGCUGCCAAAUUAUAUCA